rnacentral:rRNA from 1 species
UACGUAGGGGCCGAGCGUUGUCCGGAGUUAUUGGGCGUAAAGCGCGCGCAGGCGGCCUCGCGCGCCCGACGUGAAAGCCCCCGGCUUAACCGGGGAGGGUCGUUGGGGACGGCGGGGCUUGAGGGCGGGAGAGGUCGGUGGAAUUCCCGGUGUAGUGGUGAAAUGCGUAGAGAUCGGGAGGAACAUCAGUUGCGAAGGCGGCUCUCUGGACCAGCACUGACACUGAGGCACGAAAGCGUGGGGAGCAAACAGG